rnacentral:misc_RNA from 1 species
GAUGAAGAACGUAGCGAAAUGCGAUAAGUAAUGUGAAUUGCAGAAUUCCGUGAAUCAUCGAAUCUUUGAACGCACAUUGCGCCCGCCAGUAUUCUGGCGGGCAUGCCUGUUCGAGCGUCAUUACAACCCUCAGGCCCCCGGGCCUGGCGUUGGGGAUCGGCGGAGCCCCCCGUGGGCACACGCCGUCCCCCAAAUACAGUGGCGGUCCCGCCGCAGCUUCCAUCGCGUAGUAGCUAACACCUCGCGACUGGAGAGCGGCGCGGCCACGCCGUAAAACACCCAACUCUUCUGAAGUUGACCUCGAAUCAGGUAGGAAUACCCGCUGAACUUAAGCAUAUCAAUAAGCGGAGGA